rnacentral:tRNA from 1 species
GCCUGGGUGGCUCAGUGGGUUAAGCAUCUGACUUCAGCUCAGGUCAUGAACUCACAGUCUGUGGGUUCAAACCCCACGUCCAGCU